GUGCCAGCAGCCGCGGUAAUACGUAGGGUGCAAGCGUUGCCCGGAUUUAUUGGGCGUAAAGGGCGCGUAGGCGGCUCUGCACGUCCGUUGUGAAAUCGCCCGGCUCAACUGGGCGGGGUCAGCGGAUACGGCAGAGCUUGAGCAAGCUAGGGGGCAAUGGAAUUCCCGGUGUAGUGGUGGAAUGCGUAGAUAUCGGGAGGAACACCAGUGGCGAAGGCGGUUGCCUGGGGCUUUGCUGACGCUGAUGCGCGAAAGCGUGGGGAGCGAUCCGGAUUAGAUACCCCUGUAGUCC
rnacentral:rRNA from 1 species